UGGUGGGUAGUUUGACUGGGGCGGUCUCCUCCUAAAGAGUAACGGAGGAGCACGAAGGUUGGCUAAUCCUGGUCGGACAUCAGGAGGUUAGUGCAAUGGCAUAAGCCAGCUUGACUGCGAGCGUGACGGCGCGAGCAGGUGCGAAAGCAGGUCAUAGUGAUCCGGUGGUUCUGAAUGGAAGGGCCAUCGCUCAACGGAUAAAAGGUACUCCGGGGAUAACAGGCUGAUACCGCCCAAGAGUUCAUAUCGACGGCGGUGUUUGGCACCUCGAUGUCGGCUCAUCACAUCCUGGGGCUGAAGUAGGUCCCAAGGGUAUGGCUGUUCGCCAUUUAAAGUGGUACGCGAGCUGGGUUUAGAACGUCGUGAGACAGUUCGGUCCCUAUCUGCCGUGGGCGCUGGAAGACUGAGGGGGGCUGCUCCUAGUACGAGAGGACCGGAGUGGACGCAUCACUGGUGUUCGGGUUGUCAUGCCAAUGGCACUGCCCGGUAGCUAAAUGCGGAAAAGAUAAGUGCUGAAAGCAUCUAAGCACGAAACUUGCCCCGAGAUGA
rnacentral:rRNA from 1 species